rnacentral:rRNA from 1 species
GACGAACGCUGGCGGCGUGCUUAACACAUGCAAGUCGAACGGAAAGGCCCUGCUUUUGUGGGGUGCUCGAGUGGCGAACGGGUGAGUAACACGUGAGUAACCUGCCCUUGACUUUGGGAUAACUUCAGGAAACUGGGGCUACUACCGGAUAGGAGCUCCUGCUGCAUGGUGGGGGUUGGAAAGUUUCGGCGGUUGGGGAUGGACUCGCGGCUUAUCAGCUUGUUCGUGGGGUAGUGGCUUACCAAGGCUUUGACGGGUAGCCGGCCUGAGAGGGUGACCGGCCACAUUGGGACUGGGAUACGGCCCAGACUCAUGCGGGAGGCAGCAGUGGGGAAUAAUGCACGAUGGGCGGAAGCAUGAUGCAGCAACGACGCGUGCGGGAUGACGGCCUUCGGGUUGUAAACCGCUUUCGGCUGUGACGAAGAGUGAGUGACGGUAAUGGGUAAAGAAGCACCGGCUAACUACGUG